AAACCCUAGUUCUCUAUGAACCUCUGAUCGCUUGGCUAGUACCGGGAACCAGAGGAGAGCUGUUCGUGUGGACGAGUAGAGGCACUGCUACAUUGAUUUAUUGUGAUCGAAAUCCUUUUCUGCACUGGUAACAAUUCCAUCACUGAUCAUGUCAAAUUCGUAUGAAGGUGGGAAAACACAAGAAGGGGGUUGAAUUGUGUUGGGUAUUUGUAUUGGCUGCAUUAUUGCUAAAACAAAUAUCCUUGUUUGUGUUGUUGGAACCAAUGUUCCAACAUAUGUGUAGGCAUCUCUGUAAGAUGUUGGAUACGAUGUUCCAACAUCCUGGCACAGUUUAGUGUGCUUGGUUCAUGCCUAUUUAUUAGCUGAACCGAUCUGCUUUGUGCCGAAGCCCAACUAAAGUAUUUAGCCCAAGUUGCUUCAGUAUAUAAGGGAGACUUCAAGACCUAAUUGAUCAUUUAAGCCGUCAUUCUGAAAAGUGUAGAUUUUUAGGGUUUUGAGUCUACAUGUGCUCUACUCUUGUAUCGUUUGUGAUGCAAGUUUAGGACCUUUAUAGUGAGCCUUUCUUGCAUCAUUUGUGAUACAUAUUUAGGACUGUGUGUUGAGUUUGAUACUCUUGUGUACUACACUGAAGUUGUGAAACCAGGUGCUAGUUGUUUUGUUUGAAGAAAACUUCACCGUUUUGUUUGUGUUUGAGGUCUGAUAGGUCACAGGGGUUGUGACUGACCAUAGGAUAGUGAGAUGGGAUCUCAGAUCUAGGAGUUCCUAGGUUGAAGUCUAUACGGGUAGGUUUUAGGUCUUUAAUGUAAAUGAGGAGUUUGCUGAGAGCUAUAGAAUAAGGACUACACUAGUGAAUUUCCUUCCUGGCUUUGUAGCCCCCAAAGUAGGUGUGUUUGUCACCGAACUAGGUCAACAAACUCACUGUAUUCUUUAAUUUCUUGUCAUUUAUUUUCUUGUUUUUAUUUCUGUUUAUUUUGUGAUGUUGGAACAUUGAACGGAACAUUCCAAACGGUAAAACAUCUUACAAAACAUAUUAAAACAAGUGCGUUAGAAUUUCAAUUGGCAUCAGAGCAGACAUCCUGCCUGUUUUAGGGUGAGCUCCAGGGUAGUUUCAGUGUUAUGGACAAGGAAGGAGGAUUUGUAAACAGACCCCCUAUGUUGGAUGUCUCAAAUUAUAACUACUGGAAAUCACGCAUGAGUGCUUUUCUCAAAUUCAUUGACAGCAAAACUGGAAGGUAGUUCUGAAAGGUUGGGAACAUCCUGCGACACUUGAUGCUGAUGGUAACAUGACAUAUGUUUUGAAACUAGAGGAAGAAUAGACUGGUGCUGAAGAUGAAAUGGCUCUUGGAAAUUUCAAAGCAUUGAAUGCUCUGUUCAAUAGUGUAGACAAUAACUUGUUCAAAUUGAUUACGCAAUGUACUAGGGUUAAGGAUGCUUGGGAGAUUCUCAAGACUGCACAUGAAGGUACUACUAAGAUCUCUACCUAAGAGGUUUGACAUGAAAGUUACUCCUAUUGAAGAGGCUCAAGAUAUCUCAAGUUUGAAGGUUGAUGAAUUGAUAGGGUCCUUGCAAAAUUCUGAAAUAACUGUCAACAACAAAACUGAUAAGAAGAGCAAGGGGAUUGCUUUUGCAUCUAGUGUAGAGCUUGAUGAGUCACAAGUUAUUGGAUAUUUGUAUUGGCUACAUUAUUGCUAAAACAAAUAUCCAUGUUUGUGAUGUUGGAUACUAUGUUCCAACAUGUUUUGGAUGAUGUGCUGGAUGAUGUCUCAACAUGUCCGUUUUGCAGUUGUGUUACUUUUCUUCAUGGUUGUGGAUUGAAGAAAUGUAUGUAUGAAAUCUCUACCUUGUCUGCAUGGCCUCAAUUUGUUUUAACAACAAAUAAAUCCAAAGGGCGAAAUUGUUGGAUAUUUCAGUAUUGGCUUCAUUGUUGCUAGAACAAAUAGUCAUGUAUGUUGGAUACGAUGUUCCAACAUCUUGGCACGGUUCAGUGUUCCCUGUUUAUGUGGCUUGGUUUACGCAAUCUUUAUCUUAUUAAGGAAACCACACCCUAUUUCUUGUUCACCAAGCAGCGCGUUUUUGUCCAUGAUCAGUUGGAAGAUUUGUUUCUAAAAUAUAAACAGUAUUUUAGGAUUCCUUGGUGGUGUGUUUGGCGGUUCCUAAAGAUGUUCCUACUUUUUAGGAGUUACCAUAUUUGUGAAAUAUAUUUUCAAAAGAGAUUUUGAAAAAUAUAUUUCUGAAGAAGAUUUGUUUCAAUAUAUUUCUAAAAAGAAUAUUUCAUUCAAAUAUAUGUGUAUCCAGAA